AAGCCAAAUGCCCGUACCGGGCAGCGGGAGAACCAAUUUUUGGGGUGCAGCCGCGCAUACGCGGCGGGGUAUCUUCUUGCCCUGACCCGUCAGCUUAUCUCGCAGACGUAAGAAG
rnacentral:sRNA from 1 species